UACAGAGGUCUCAAGCGUUGUUCGGAUUCAUUGGGCGUAAAGGGUGCGUAGGCGGCGCGGUAAGUCGGGUGUGAAAUUUCGAGGCUUAACUUCGAAACUGCAUUCGAUACUGCCGUGCUUGAGGACUGGAGAGGAGACUGGAAUUUGACGGUGUAGCGGUGAAAUGCGUAGAUAUCGAUAAGGAAGACCAGUGGCGAAGGCGGGUCUCGUGGACAGUCCUGACGCUGA
rnacentral:rRNA from 1 species